AAGAGAAACAUCAGAAAGCCCAAAAGAUAUGAGGACUAAUAUGGAGCACAAGAAGACAAAGAAACCAAUCAUGAGGAAAUCAAAUACGAAUCAUCAGAAGAAUAUUUUCAUAGGAAUAUUAAGUUGUUAUUUUGUUUGUUAUUUUUUGUUUUAUUGAUAAGGACAGAUGUCCUCUAGAUUUAUGAAUUGCUAUGAGAUGAUUACAAGUGUCAAUAGAUCCAUAGACCUUGGAUCAUUCUAGAAUCCCUAGGAGGAUAUUUAUAUGAUUGUACUAGUGAUAUUGAAUUCAAGUAAAAAUUUCAC
rnacentral:lncRNA from 1 species